rnacentral:rRNA from 1 species
GGAGUACAAAGUACCCGGAGGGAAAGUUGCAAAGCACUUUGAAGAGAGAGUUAAAGAGGACGUGAAACCGGUAGGAUGGAAACGGAUAGAGCCAGCGAAGUCGCUUGUAUUCAGCCAAAGACUCGGGGCUAACCGCCGUCGUGUUUCUAAUCGAGCACGGUGGUGGGGUUGUCUCGGGUUGAGGUGCACUUGCGGGCGUUUGCGCUGAGACUUGCGGGGUAGCUUCUGGCACCGCGACUAGAGGCCUCCCUUUGGGUUGAACCUGGUCUGCGGGAACAGCUGUUUGCCCUGCUCGUACUUGGGCUGAAGUGCCCGGGUUGCGUCGUUGUCUGCUUGCCAUGGUAUCGCAUGCGAUGCCUAGCUUGUGGGCUUCGGUUCGGCUCGGGCCUAGGCUCGCCUCUCGGUGUAGAAGCUGGUCAUCUCUCCGACCCGUCUUGAAACACGGACCAAGGAGUUUAGCGUAUGCGCGAGUCAUUGGGUGUUCAAACUCAUAGGCGCAAUGAAAGUAAAGGCUCGGUCGCCGGGCUGACAUGCGAGUGCGGGCGGCAACGGCCCCAGCACGCAGCAUGGUCCCGUUGCAGUCGCUUGCGACGCAGCGGAGACAGAGCGUAUGCGCUGAGACCCGAAAGAUGGUGAACUAUUCCUGAGCAGGACGAAGCCAGAGGAAACUCUGGUGGAAGUCCGAAGCGAUUCUGACGUGCAAAUCGAUCGUCUGACUUGGGUAUAGGGGCGAAAGACUAAUCGAACCAUCUAGUACUGUUUCCUUCCGACGGG